rnacentral:lncRNA from 1 species
CCCAGGUCAAGGCCACACUGACAACAAUCAUAACAAGUCUUUCAGAUGGAUGAAGCUGCAUUUUCUUCCCUGAACUUCAAUGUCCUGGAAUCAAAGAAACCAACUUCAGCCUCCUCAGCUCCAUCAGCCAUAGAAACAGUUUCUUCAGAAGUAAAAAAGAAGUAACGCAACCUGCCCUGUUUGCUGCACUGCUGACUUACUCCAAGCUUGUCAUCCCCAUCACUGGAAGGAUCCCUUUACCUUUAGGGAAGAGAGGAAGAAGCCUCCCGCCGACCCCUUAUCUUCAAAGUGAGGCACCUCCAGCCUGCCAGGUCAUAGCCCCUCCCUUCAGUGUCAAUAAAUGAAAAGCUACAUCCAGGAGUCUGUAGGUAACCCAACCUUCCCAGUCUUUGAAUAUUUGGCAAAGCAGACUUUGGGAGAGAGUUGCCAGAACCUCCCAUCUCUCCCCUUCUCCUGACCUAGACUUGUUUUAAACUUAUCUAUUAAAUGCACACUCACCUUCCUGCUCCAGUCAUGUCCUACAGGAGACUAUGAUGAAUUUGCCGUAAGCUUUAGAGAUACUUCCUUAUCCACUGAAAUGCACGUGCCAGAAAAGAACAGAGAAAAAGCACAAGCUUAUACUGCAUCACUUCUUCAAUUGGUUUAAUGAGAAGCGUGUCUAAAGUAACUACAAUAAAUAAUUCACGGAUAUCACAAAUGUUUACUGAGAAUCUAUUAUGUGACAGGUACUUUUAUAGGCCCCAGGAAUUCAAAAACGAGACACAGAGGCCAUGCCUAGAAGACACUUACAGUACAUUCACCAGGCAUUCUCAGGAAAGCAUUAUAAGUGCUACAAGAGGGGUGAACGCUGGGAACUGCAGGAUCAUAAUCUGGGGUUGGUGUGUCAUCAUAGGAUUACAGAAGAGGUAAUGGUUGAACCAAGGCCUGAGGGAUAACUAAAACUGACAGGAAAAUAAAGAGGUAUGACAGGGGUGUUCUACGCAGACAGACUAAGCACAAAUUCCCAGAUGCUAUGGAGAGCAGAGGAGGUCUUGUGAAUUUGUUAACACAACACAAAUUUGGGAGCCAUGCUGAAGAGACCAAAGUGCACCCUGGGGGCAAUAAGGAACAAUUAAAGGACUUUAAUAAUGGAAAAAGAUAUGAUCAGAAUAUUGUUUUCUAAGACCACUCUAUAUGCACUGUGGAGCAUGAAUUAGA